rnacentral:rRNA from 1 species
ACUCAAAUGAAUUGACGGGGGCCCGCACAAGCGGUGGAUGAUGUGGAUUAAUUCGAUGCAACGCGAAAAACCUUACCUACCCUUGACAUGUGCCGAACCCUGGUGAGAGCCGGGGGUGCCCGAAAGGGAGCGGCAACACAGGUGCUGCAUGGCUGUCGUCAGCUCGUGUCGUGAGAUGUUGGGUUAAGUCCCGCAACGAGCGCAACCCUUGCCAUUAGUUGCUACAUUCAGUUGGGCACUCUAAUGGGACUGCCGGUGACAAACCGGAGGAAGGUGGGGAUGACGUCAAGUCCUCAUGGCCCUUAUGGGUAGGGCUUCACACGUCAUACAAUGGUCGGUACAGAGGGUUGCCAAGCCGCGAGGUGGAGCCAAUCCCUGCAAAGCCGAUCGUAGUCCGGAUUGCAGUCUGCAACUCGACUGCAUGAAGUCGGAAUCGCUAGUAAUCGCGGAUCAGCAUGUCGCGGUGAAUACGUUCCCGGGCCUUGUACACACCGCCCGU